AGAGUUUGAUCAUGGCUCAGAUUGAACGCUGGCGGUAUGCUUAACACAUGCAAGUCGAACGGUAACAGGCCUUCGGGCGCUGACGAGUGGCGGACGGGUGCGUAACGCGUAGGAAUCUGCCUGUUAGUGGGGGACAACGUGGGGAAACUCACGCUAAUACCGCAUACGCCCUGAGGGGGAAAGCGGGGGACCUUCGGGCCUCGCGCUAACAGAUGAGCCUGCGUGGGAUUAGCUAGUUGGUAGGGUAAAGGCCUACCAAGGCGACGAUCCCUAGCUGGUCUGAGAGGACGAUCAGCCACACUGGGACUGAGACACGGCCCAGACUCCUACGGGAGGCAGCAGUGGGGAAUAUUGGACAAUGGGCGCAAGCCUGAUCCAGCAAUACCGCGUGUSYYRAGAAGGCCUGAGGGUUGUAAAGCACUUUUAAUCGGGAGGAACAUCUGAUGGCGAAUACCCAUCAGUCUGACAUUACCGAUAGAAAAAGCACCGGCUAACUCCGUGCCAGCAGCCGCGGUAAUACGGAGGGUGCAAGCGUUAAUCGGAAUUACUGGGCGUAAAGCGUGCGUAGGCGGCUGCUUAAGUCAGAUGUGAAAGCCCCGGGCUUAACCUGGGAACGGCAUUUGAUACUGGGCAGCUCGAGUUGAGUAGAGGAGAGGGGAAUUUCCGGUGUAGCGGUGAAAUGCGUAGAGAUCGGAAGGAACACCAGUGGCGAAGGCGCCUCUCUGGACUCAAACUGACGCUGAGGUACGAAAGCGUGGGUAGCAAACAGGAUUAGAUACCCUGGUAGUCCACGCCGUAAACGAUGUCAACUAGCCGUUGGUCUUAUUCGUAAGAUUCGUGGCGCAGCUAACGCGAUAAGUUGACCGCCUGGGGAGUACGGCCGCAAGGUUAAAACUCAAAUGAAUUGACGGGGGCCCGCACAAGCGGUGGGGCAUGUGGUUUAAUUCGAUGCAACGCGAAGAACCUUACCUACCCUUGACAUCCAGAGAAUCUGUGAGAGAUCGUAGAGUG
rnacentral:rRNA from 1 species